GUACGUCGCGACAGGGCGAGUUCAAUGCACUACAUGAUCCUGGAGACUUCAUUUUCAAUCCAUUGUUACUGGAUUCUAAAGCAACAAGAGGUAUCAUGAGAGACAAGCCGGUAGCUGAAAAACUCUUAAUGACGGAUCUUGCACGUUGCCCACUAAGAGUAUUGUUUUUAUGAUUUUUCGACAUGCUUGAAGUACUUGGUGAAGGUGGUAAGGUUGGACAUAGAUUAGCAGUCACAGGCUGGAUGGAAUACUUCUKUGUCCCGUGGAUUUGUUCACGCCGGUACCUAUUUAUUUACAAUCUAUACGCCAGGUAGCAACUACAAUGAGAUUUCACUGAACAAUUAUUAAGGAAGAUAAUAUUAAACUCAUCCAUAAUUUAACAAUAUUCAAAUUAUUAGUACAUUAAUGUUUAAAAAAAAAUGUACUUAAGAAAAUUAUUAGAAGAUACACAAUGAAUCAAUUAUGAAGAUAAUUUAUUAUUAUUACUACCACAAAUAUUAUUCAACUGAAUGUAUAAAACAUGUUACUA